GGAAUGCGAUCAGUGCUGUGAGCUGCGUCUUCGCUGGUUGGAUGAGAUCGGCGUGCGUCUUUGCAAGCAGGAAGUCAGGAGUUCGAAUCUCCUAGGCUCCACCA
rnacentral:tRNA from 1 species